GUUAGUCCUAGCAGUAAACGAUGGCUACUAGGUGUGGGGGUGUUGACCCCUCCUGUGCCGAAGCUAACGCAUUAAGUAGCCCGCCUGGGGAGUACGGUCGCAAGACUAAAACUCAAAGGAAUUGACGGGACCCGCACAAGCAGCGGAGCGUGUGGUUUAAUUCGAUGCAACGCGAAGAACCUUACCUGGGCUUGACAUACACUCGCAACGCGCCGAAAGGUGCGCCUCCUUCGGGACGGUGUACAGAUGCUGCAUGGCUGUCGUCAGCUCGUGCCGUGAGGUGUUGGGUUAAG
rnacentral:rRNA from 1 species